AUCGAAGGGGCGGAAUAUCUACGACGAUCUCCGCCUCUGAAGGCAAAGGGCAUCGACCAACGCGGCUGGCUAACUUGCCUACUUAGCUUCGACUAAGAAGAGCAAAAUGCCAAGACGACCGCGGUCGCCCUCGCGAUAUACCAACUUGGUCACGACCGGUCGAAGGAUAUUCGGCUUACCAUCGUUUAUCAUACGUCCCGACGUGCUACGCCCGACCAAGGGCCGAACAACGGAUAUUCGACUUGUUAUCGUUAUCCUAUCCGAAUACAUCGGACGUCACUCAACUAUCAGACUCUACGGAAUGAUCGCGCCAACGUGCUACGCCCGACUAGGGGCCGGACAAUGGAUGUUCGACUUGUCGUCGUUAUCCUAUCCGGAUAUGUCGAACGCUACUCGACUAUCGGAUACGCCAGGAUGACUCUCGACCAUC
rnacentral:lncRNA from 1 species